CACAAAGCAAUCACAAUGAGAACACGGAUACUCUUCCGCCUUAUCUUUGCCUUUCUUUUCAUCUAUGGUGCUCACUCCGCUACAAUAACGGUAACAAACAAUUGUCCGUACACUAUUUGGCCGGGAGACUUGACAGCAAAUCAAAAACCUCAGUUAUCAAACACCGGAUUCAAGCUACCAUCCAAAGCAUCCACAUCACUGGAUGUCCAAGCUUCGUGGAUCGGCCGGUUUCACUUGUGCAACUGCUGAUUGUGGCUCCGGUCAGGUUUCAUGCAACGGCAACAAUGCAAUCCUGCCGGCGUAUUUGGUGGGAAUCGCUAUUGCAGCGAACGGUGAACAAGAUUUCUACGAUGUAAGCCUUGUAGACGGCUUCAACUUGCCUGUAUCAAUAGCUACACGGCUUCAAUAGCUAAGCCUUGUAACAACAUAUGCUGUCCAGAAUCUGUAUUGAGAAAGAAAAAAGAAUCAAAUAUGUUAAGUUAUCAAGGAUUUCUUUCUCAAGUAAAGGUCUUCAACUAA